GACGAACGCUGGCGGCGUGCCUAAUACAUGCAAGUAGAACGCAGUUGCGAACGGGUGAGUAACGCGUAGGUAACUGCCUGGUAGCGGGGGAAUACUAUUGGAAACGAUAGCUAAUAACGCAUACUACCAGAUGGACCUGCGUGGUAUUAUCGAGUUGGUGGGGUAACGGCUCACCAAGGCAACGAGACAUAGCAGAACUGAGAGGGGGAUCUGCCACACUGGGACUGAGACACGGCCCAGACUCCUCCGGGAGGCAGCAGUAGGGAAGCUUCGGCCAUGGACGGAAGGCUGACCGAGCAACGCCGCGUGAGUGAAGAAGGUUUUCGGAUCGUAAAGCUCUGUUGUAAGAGAAGCGGUAUCUUACCAGAAAGGGACGGCUAACUACGUGCCAGCAGCCGCGGUAAUAC
rnacentral:rRNA from 1 species